GAACCCGCGAACCCGUGACCGACGACCCGAGAGGAAGACCCGGUUCUUUCUGUGCUUUUCCCGGCGACUUUCCGGCGGAAUCAGUGGCUUUUCCAGUGAAAGAUCCUUGGGGUAAAAGGUCGAUCCUGACGCUAAUGGCAAGUCCAGAUGACAACCGUAAGACGAAGUCUUUUUCUUGUAAGGGAGUAGACCUCGCUGAGAGCGAUAGUUCGUGAUGAACCAGCCAAACCCUAAUAUUGUAUAGUAUGAUUUGUUCCUUUUGGAGUUCAUGAUUUUGUAUAGAUUAUUAAUAG